ACGGAAGGUAGCAGUGAGGAAUAUUGGUCAAUGGUCGGAAGACUGAACCAGCCAAGUAGCGUGCAGGAUGACGGCCCUAUGGGUUGUAAACUGCUUUUGUGCGGGAAUAACGGUCUCCUCGUGAGGGGAAGUGCAUGUACCGUACGAAUAAGGAUCGGCUAACUCCGUGCCAGCAGCCGCGGUAAUACGGAGGAUCCGAGCGUUAUCCGGAUUUAUUGGGUUUAAAGGGAGCGUAGGCGGAGGAUCAAGUCAGCUGUGAAAUGUAGACGCUCAACGUCUGCACUGCAGUUGAAACUGGUUUUCUUGAGUGCGUAAGGGGCAGGCGGAAUUCGUCGUGUAGCGGUGAAAUGCUUAGAUAUGACGAAGAACUCCGAUCGCGAAGGCAGCUUGCCGGGCCGCAACUGACGCUGAAGCUCGAAGGUGCGGGUAUCGAACAGGAUUAGAUACCCUGGUA
rnacentral:rRNA from 1 species